AUGAUGCCAUGUGUGGCUAUAAUACACCCUGGUUCUGUGGCUCGAACGCUGCCAAGAAACGGGUGAUGUGUUGGUAAACAAUACCCAGCUUUGGUGGCUGUAACACCGCUGGAAAACACCACAAUAUGUCAGUGAAAAACGCCCAGGUUCAGCACAAACGCAGAUAUGUGUUGGUUAAAAAAAAAACGCCCAGGUUCAGCACAAACGCAGCUAUGUGUUGGUUAGAAAACGCCCAGGUUCAGCACAAACGCAGUUAUGUGUUGGUUAAAAAAA